AUUGAACGCUGGCGGCAGGCCUAACACAUGCAAGUCGAGCGGAUGAAGGGAGCUUGCUCCUGGAUUCAGCGGCGGACGGGUGAGUAAUGCCUAGGAAUCUGCCUGGUAGUGGGGGAUAACGUCCGGAAACGGGCGCUAAUACCGCAUACGUCCUGAGGGAGAAAGUGGGGGAUCUUCGGACCUCACGCUAUCAGAUGAGCCUAGGUCAGAUUAGCUAGUUGGUGGGGUAAAGGCCUACCAAGGCGACGACCCGUAACUGGUCUGAGAGGAUGAUCAGUCACACUGGAACUGAGACACGGUCCAGACUCCUACGGGAGGCAGCAGUGGGGAAUAUUGGACAAUGGGCGAAAGCCUGAUCCAGCCAUGCCGCGUGUGUGAAGAAGGUCUUCGGAUUGUAAAGCACUUUAAGUUGGGAGGAAGGGCAGUAAGUUAAUACCUUGCUGUUUUGACGUUACCAACAGAAUAAGCACCGGCUAACUUCGUG
rnacentral:rRNA from 1 species